CUUCUGUUUACCAAAGUGAAGCUGGAGGAGGUUUUGUUCGGACCCGCUGCAGCUUUACAGACCUGUACAGAAAUGCUGCAGUGGUGGCAGAGUCGCUAUGAUUUUACCCGUCUCAGUGAGGAGGAUGACACUAGCAGCAUACCUCCUGAUCCAGGCCCGCUGAGCAGGAAACCCAGCGGCCUCCAUCUCACGCUCCCAGACUUCCAGGAGACAGAGACCGGGUCUCAGAGUGCCCCGUCUCUAGCUGUGUCCCGUCUGGAGCAGGCCAUGUC